UCGAGGUGCACCGGUUUAACUAAUGCCGUAGACUACGGUUAAGAACUCGCGUAGGAGCAUCGUCACGAACACCUCCUUCGCCGGCCCUCCCGCUUACCUACCGUACUUCGCCAGUCUACCCUCAAGCUGCAGCGGGCCCUGCUGCUGCUGCUGCUGCUGCGCCUCCACGAGAACGCGCGCGGAGGGUCUGCCUGCCUCCCUCCGGCGUCUUCAUGAAUCAAUUGCCGCCUCGAGCGCAGUUGGACAGCACGUCCCUCCCCCCCUACACCCUCCCCCGAGGGAGCGGACGCGGGGCAACCGCUUCCGCUGAGAAAGCCCGCGGGCGGCGCUUCGAGCGCCCACAUUUCGCGACAAGUUUUCGUCGUCAUAUGGGUUCAAUUUCGGUCGACCCGCAGUCAAGCUACAGUUCACGUAAAGAAGAAGUAAAAAAAAAAACCUUCGCAUCGUCACCCCCUCCUCUACCCCCUCCUUCUGCCUGUUCAAAGAGAGGAAACUUAGUUUCGCAUGUUUAACCCCCGUGAGCCCCGUGUGCAUGUUCUUGUGCCCUGGAGAAAUGAGGUGUGACGCAACUACGAAGCACGUUCUCAACGAGGCACGUGUUUGUACUUAGUUCUGCAUGACCCAGUUUUUGGCGUUCUUGUGUCUGAAGAAGCUGCCUCCCCCCACCCUCCCCAAUAAAGAAAGAAGAAAAAAAAGGAGAC